rnacentral:rRNA from 1 species
AACGCGAAGAACCUUACCAGGGUUUGACAUCCCGUGCUAAGCCCAGAGAUGGGUGGUCCCCGCAAGGGGCGCGGAGACAGGUGCUGCAUGGCUGUCGUCAGCUCGUGUCGUGAGAUGUUGGGUUAAGUCCCGCAACGAGCGCAACCCUCGCCUUUAGUUGCCAUCAUUUAGUUGGGCACUCUAAAGGGACCGCCGGCGACAAGCCGGAGGAAGGUGGGGAUGACGUCAAGUCCUCAUGGCCCUUACACCCUGGGCUACACACGUGCUACAAUGGCGGUGACAGUGGGCAGCGACCACGCGAGUGGAUGCGAAUCCCAAAAAACCGUCCCAGUUCAGAUUGCACUCUGCAACUCGGGUGCAUGAAGGUGGAAUCGCUAGUAAUCGCAGAACAGCAGGCUGCGGUGAAUACGUUCCCGGGCCUUGUA